rnacentral:piRNA from 1 species
UCAGUUCCUACGACUAUAGGAAACGUGUU